GACGAACGCUGGCGGCGUGCUUAACACAUGCAAGUCGAACGCUGAAGCUUGGUGCUUGCACUGGGUGGAUGAGUGGCGAACGGGUGAGUAAUACGUGAGUAACCUGCCCUUGACUCUGGGAUAAGCCUGGGAAACUGGGUCUAAUACUGGAUACGACAUGUCACCGCAUGGUGGUGUGUGGAAAGGGUUUUACUGGUUUUGGAUGGGCUCACGGCCUAUCAGCUUGUUGGUGGGGUAAUGGCUCACCAAGGCGACGACGGGUAGCCGGCCUGAGAGGGUGACCGGCCACACUGGGACUGAGACACGGCCCAGACUCCUACGGGAGGCAGCAGUGGGGAAUAUUGCACAAUGGGCGGAAGCCUGAUGCAGCGACGCCGCGUGAGGGAUGACGUCCUUCGGGUUGUAAACCUCUUUCAGCACGGAAGAAGCGAAAGUGACGGUACGUGCAGAAGAAGCGCCGGCUAACUACGUG
rnacentral:rRNA from 1 species